UAUCUGUUGUUGGCGGAGAGUUUCUGGAAACGGUGAUAAGUGGACUUGGGUAGUUUAAGGAAGGCUUCAUCUCCCGGAAUGAAUACGGUCAUUCCGGAAGUGAAAAAUUCAAGAUCAUGGUNNNNNNNNNNNUCUUGUAAUUGAUGACAUUGUUUGUGAGAGGAGAUUGAUUAUUGAUUGUUUGUUGAAGAGGAGGAUUUGAAUGAGUGAGAUUUCUGUUGAAGAUGAUUUGAUUUGAAUGAAACGAUAGGUAUUUAUU
rnacentral:lncRNA from 1 species